AAAUCAAAAUUAUAUUUGUGCUUUCUAGAGCUGGGAUUUCAUUUUAAAGACAAAAGAAAAGCAUCUUUGCCUAUGACAUUUGCCAGAGUAAUAAAAAUAAAGCCAAGGACAAGAAAGGGGCAUUGUUUUAGUGUCAGAUCUCAAAAUUUUAUCAAUUCUGCUAUAUAUGGUCAUCUGAUACCAUUCACCAUGUAUCCAUACCCAUUCACCUGCAACCCUCGUCUGUAUUCAUUCUUUAGAUAUGCCUCACACACAUGCCUAUAUAUAUAUAUAUAUUUUAUGUAUGUGUACGUAUAUGCUUUUAGAGGAAUGUGUGCUAUCUAAAGGAAUGUGCUUUGAAGAGUUCUAUUCGAUCUCUUUUGAAAAAUGACUACAUGAGUACACGUUUUUUCCCCCCACUAAAAUUCAGUCAUCGUUGGUUUUCUCAAUAUCUAAUCAAAGAUAUGCUAUUUUCUAUGAUGGCCUUUUCGGCCGCUGCCUCUUGUUUGUGGUGUAAUUUUCGCAAUAUUUUCACUUGUGCUGUUUGGGGAGUUGAAAUGGAAAAUAAAAGAGUACAUUGAACAAUUAUUGGAGCCUAUUUAUAUGCAAGAUGAGUCCAUUUUGUAUGCAUGAUGUACAGUUUCUUGAGUUCUGCCUGCAUAUGGUGUCCUUAUUGAGAAACUUUUGAUUGGAGAAAGUUCGUCUUACAUUGUCUACUUAUUAUGUCCUGAUUACAGGUGCUUUCUGUGACAGUUUGCAAUCACUUUAAGAGGUUCUCUUAGAACAUCUUCACUCCUUACUCAAACCUCGACUCAAACUCAAAAUUUGAGUGCAAGUCCUUAAAAAGCUCCUCCACUUCUUACUCAAACCUAUAUCAAAUUUGAUUUUUACUCAAAUUUGAACUCAAAUUAGGUUGGACUCAAACCCUUACUCAAAUUUUAAAGGCUAAUUUCACGCCCUUAAUGAAGUUUUUACUCAAAUUUUGUGCUUGGAUUUGAGUUUGCCCAUUGGAGCACACAAUACCAAAUGAAUCUUUUACUCAUAUUUUUACUCAAAUUUGAGUAAUGGCGGGAAAUGCUCUAAUGACUCUUUUAAAGAAAUAGUCAGGUCUAAACCCUUGCUUGCCAUGCAUUAUCUUCUCCUUGGCUAUAGAAGUUGAUCUCUAGGAAAGAAUUGUAGCUACCUGUUGGGAGAAUACAAGUAGAGUUUGCUACAGUGUUGGCGCAAAGCAUAUGGUUCCCUCAAAAACCAGACCACAAGCUCGUCUUCAACCAUUUUAUACUUCAGAUUCAGAUGAAGGGGGAUAUCAUAUGUAUAUUGCUGAGUUCAAGGUCGAUGAUGGGCGUAACGACGCUGCCAAGGACACCAUGAACUCUUGCACGGCUGCUUAGGGUGUUGGGCGGCUGUGUCUCAGACAUAAAGUAUUUUGGCAAGAUGGAGGGGCUCAAAGGAAGAACAUGAAUUGAUACAUCUGCAAUUGGAGUCGGACACCAUUAAAUCUAACUCUAAUGGAUCCAAACAUUCUGUGUUCGAUGAUACAUUUUGAGAAAGAUGAACUGAGGAAUCAAGGUGACCUAAAUAAAGAGGAGGUCACAUUCAGCAAUUUGGAGAAGCAGAUAAAGGAUACUGAAACUUAUUGUUUGGUAGCUAAAGAUCCUGAGGACAUUGCUUUGAAUGAUAGCAUACCUGAAGAGGUGAAAAUCAGUGUGUGAUGACUAUGAUAGGAAGGGCAUUUUAGACGAGCUUAAAAUGGAUUGGCUCGAGCAAAGAAAGGGAAGUCCCUGCUUAAGGGACCUCAACCCUGAAGCGUAACCCUACACCGGUGCAUGCGGCAUGAAGUUCCAAUCGAGAAGAAAUCUCUUAAAUAGAUACUAAGUCUCCAUUUAAUUCACAAGCUAUGGACAAUAUCUUCAGAAACGUCAAUGUUGUGCUUCGAGAGGAACACGAUCUGAAUCUGAUCCGCUUUCUUAGGGACAAAGAAAUGGAGAAGGCAAAGUCCAAGGGAAAAAAGAAAGUCAUCUAUGCAAUAAGGGAAAAGAUAAUGCAUGUCUGGUGAUUGGACAUCUUCGAGAGAAAAAUGUUGUCGGUGUUGUGAUCAGAGAGGAGCGAGACCUUGACAUAGCGUAGGCAAAGUCCAAGGGAAAAAAGAAAUUAAUCUUUGCAAGUAAGGGAAAAGAAAAUGCAUUUCAAGUGGUAUGAUUCUUUAGCCAUUCUUUUGUCUUUUAUUUUUGCCAUUUCUUACCAAAUUGGAAUGAAUAUUGUUCAAGCCAAUGAGUAGUUUUAAGACAUGCGUACAAUUGUUAGUUUUUAAUUUUUA